AAAAUUGCCUAGAAACCCUAAAUUAAAUAAAAAAUAUCCCUCUCCAUCUCCCUUCCCAACGGCAUCUCCAUCUCCAUAUCUCAAUUUGCAGAAUUGACUCGUGUUUUCCCCACACCAAGAGUCAUAGCCCUCGCAGAUUUCACGCCGCCGGCCUGCUUGCCCGGAGAAGAAAGCCGAGGACUUGGCUGUCUCGGAGUUUGGUCCCUGCCGCGGCUGCUACUCGCCAACAUCAGACGCCGUCGUCUCCUGCAGCAGGUCGCUGGUCCGGAUUCGUGGGCAGCGUCGCGUGGCUGCUGACUCGCGGCCUUGCCGCCGCUGCCAACUGCGCGAACCCGUCGCCGUCCGCCCUCCCAUCGUUUGAUCCAGCUGAGCAAAGUGGGGACUUAUCAAGAUCCAUGGGCAUCCCAACUUUCAAUCGAACUAUGGCCUUCCUGAAAUCCACAAAGAUAGACUACAAUGCCACGGGCUUAUACUGGUGUUGGGAAAUGAAGCUUUGGAAAUCAUAGAAUAUGCUUUUUCAAAAGAUAGGUUGUGAAGACUUUUGACUUCAGCAUCACUGGUGCCUCUUCAAGAUCUUGUAAAUAUGUCCUGAAUACUAUGAUGCAGACUUUUAAGAACAAGAGGCUUGCUUAUGCAGUUAAGGAGAGUACUCUUGAUAGUCUCAUCAUGGAACUAUUGCUCCGGCUUUUGGAUGAUAGUAAUCCCCAAUGGAUGAUAGAAGUCAACUUUUAAGAGCUUUGAAUGUUCCGAUGUUAAAGAUUCUGGAUAACGUAGAAUGUAUUUCAUCAUUUCCUGUGCUUAUAUAUCUGUCAAGACCUGGAUCCAUCAAGAUGGCCAUCUCCAUCAAAUGAUCUCUUGAAAUCAGAAACCAGAAGUUCUCUGAUUUGGUUGUUAAAUGUUUGAUCAUGCUCACAAAGGUUAAGGAGCCAAAACCAGAAGCUGUUCCUUAGGCUGUGGUUCAGUACCCACUUAAGAGUGUAGCUGAUGCACCUCAUGACCUUAUCUAUCCAGUUGAUAUAUUAAAGCCUUUGGAGAAGUCUGGAUUUUAGGAAGCGGUGAAAGCUUCAAAAUGGUGGGAGAGGAAAGAGGCUGUUGCUGAACUAGCCGAACUUGCUUCAACCAAAAAGAUUUCUCUUGGAGAUUUUUCAGAAAGUUUGUCAUACAUUAAAGAAGGUUAUCACGAAUGUAAAGGUUACUGAAGGAAGGAAAAAAAGGAAAAAAAAAAGAAAAAAACACUGUUGUUGCAGCUGAAGCUAUUCAAGCGCUGGGCAACCUUCCUAAGGGCAUGAGAACCCUUCCUAAAAAAAAGAAAAAAAAAGAAAAAAAGGAAAGAAAAUGAAAAAAAGCUAAAAAAGGAAAAAAAAUUGCGGAUGCAUUUAAAUCUAUUCAAGCACUGGGAAACUUUGCUGGGGAUCCGAGAGCCCAUUUUUCAGCCAGUUGUCGCUUCUUAUUUGCCUGUAAACCGCACCUCAGGACCUUGUCGAUCCAGUUGAUAUAUUAAAGCCUCCUUAGGAGAAGUCUGGAUUUAGGGAAGCGGUGAUAGCUUCAAAAUGGCGUGAGAGGAAAGAAGCUGUUGCUGAACUAACCGAACUUGCUUCCACCAAAAAGAUUUCUCUUGGAGAUUUUUUCAGAAAGUUUAUCAUGCAUUAAAGAAGGUUAUCAGGAAUGUAAAUGUUACUGAAGGAAGGAAAAAAAGGAAAAAACAUUGUUGUCGCAGCUGAAGCUAUUCAAGCGCUGGGCAACCUUCCUAAGGGCCUGAGAACCCUUCUAAAAAAAAGAGAAAAAAGGAAAAAAAGGAAAAAAAACAGAAAAAAAGUAAAAAAAGGGAAAAAGAGAAAAAAAAUAAUUGCUACUGCGUAUAAAGCUAUUCAAGCAUUGGGCAACGUUGCUAGACUUUUCAGAACAAGAGCCUUGCUUAUGCGGUUAAGGAGUGUACUCUGAUAGUCUCAUCAAUGAACUGUUUCUCUGGCUUUUGGAUGAUAGGCUUCCGGAGAUGGAUGAUGAACGUCAAAUUUUAACUACUUUGAAUGUUCUGAUGUUAAAGAUUCUGGCCAAUGUUGUCAAGUCACCACGUAGCCAAAGGUCGAGGUUCUUGGUUUUGUGGGAACCCAAUUUAUGUGCAUCACUGAUUCUGACCAACCAUCUUAAGCUUUAAUGAAUUGAAGCUGCCUUUGUAAAUGCUCCUCAGGACCUUAUCGAUCCAGUUGAUAAAUUAAAGCCUUUGGAGAAGUCUGGAUAUUGGGAAGUGGUGAAAGCUUCAAAAUGGUGGGAGAGGGAAGAGGUUGUUGCUGAACUAGCCGAACUUGCUUCAACCAUAAAGAUUUCUCUUGGAGAUUUUUUCAGAAAGUUUGUCAUACAUUAAAUAAGGUAAUCACGAAUGUAAACGUUACAGAUGGAAAAAAAAGAAAAAAAACAUUGCUGUUGCAGCUGAAACUAUUCAAACGCUGGGCAACCUUGGCAUGAGAACCCUUCCUAAAAAAAGAAAAAAAAGAAAAAAGGAAAGAAAAUGAAAAAAAGCAAAAAAAGGAAAAAAAAUUGCGGAUGCAUUUAAAUCUAUUCAAGCACUGGGAAACUUUGCUGGGGAUCCGAGAGCCCAUUUUUCAGCCAGUUGUCGCUUCUUAUUUGCCUGUAAACCGCACCUCAGGACCUUGUCGAUCCAGUUGAUAUAUUAAAGCCUCCUUAGGAGAAGUCUGGAUUUAGGGAAGCGGUGAUAGCUUCAAAAUGGCGUGAGAUGAAAGAAGCUGUUGCUGAACUAACCGAACUUGCUUCCACCAAAAAGAUUUCUCUUGGAGAUUUUUUCAGAAAGUUUAUCAUGCAUUAAAGAAGGUUAUCAGGAAUGUAAAUGUUACUGAAGGAAGGAAAAAAAAGGAAAAAACAUUGUUGUCGCAGCUGAAGCUAUUCAAGCGCUGGGCAACCUUCCUAAGGGCCUGAGAACCCUUCUAAAAAAAAGAGAAAAUGGAAAAAAAGGAAAAAAAAGAAAAAAAGUAAAAAAAGGGAAAAAGAGAAAAAAAAUAAUUGCUACUGCGUAUAAAGCUAUUCAAGCAUUGGGCAACGUUGCUAGACUUUUCAGAACAAGAGCCUUGCUUAUGCGGUUAAGGAGUGUACUCUGAUAGUCUCAUCAAUGAACUGUUUCUCUGGCUUUUGGAUGAUAGGCUUCCGGAGAUGGAUGAUGAACGUCAAAUUUUAACUACUUUGAAUGUUCUGAUGUUAAAGAUUCUGGCCAAUGUUGUCAAGUCACCACGUAGCCAAAGGUCGAGGUUCUAGGUUUUGUGGGAACCCAAUUUAUGUGCAUCACUGAUUCUGACCAACCAUCUUAAGCUUUAAUGAAUUGAAGCUGCCUUUGUAAAUGGACCUUAUCGAUCCAGUUGAUAAAUUAAACCCUUUGGAGAAGUCUGGAUAUUGGGAAGUGGUGAAAGCUUCAAAAUGGUGGGAGAGGGAAGAGGUUGUUGCUGAACUAGCCGAACUUGCUUCAACCAUAAAGAUUUCUCUUGGAGAUUUUUUCAGAAAGUUUGGCAUACAUUAAAUAAGGUAAUCACGAAUGUAAACGUUACAGAUGGAAAAAAAAGAAAAAAAACAUUGUUGUUGCAGCUGAAACUAUUCAAACGCUGGGCAACCUUGGCAUGAGAACCCUUCCUAAAAAAAGAAAAAAAAAGAAAAAAGGAAAAAAAGGAAAAAAAAAUGAAAAAAAUAAUUGCUGAUGUAUUUAAAGCUAUUCAAGCACUGGGCAACUGUGCUAGGGAUCCGAGAGCCCAUUUUUCGCCCAGUUGUUGCUUCUUAUUUGCCUGUAAACCGCACCUCAGGACCUUGUCGAUCCAGUUGAUAUAUUAAAGCCUCCUUAGGAGAAGUCUGGAUUUUGGGAAGCGGUGAAAGCUUCAAAAUGGCAUGAGAGGAAAGAAGUUGUCGCUGAACUAAAAGGGAAAAAUGAUUAUUGCUGCUGCAUAUAAAGCUAUUCAAGCAUUGGGCAACAUUACUAGAUUUUUCAGAACAAGAGCCUUGCUUAUGCAGUUAAGGAGUGUACUCUGAUAGUCUCAUCAAUGAACUGUUUCUCUGGCUUUUGGAUGAUAGGCUUCCGGAGAUGGAUGAUGGACGUCAAAUUUUAACUGCUUUGAAUGUUCUGAUGUUAAAAAUUCUGGAUAACGCAGAAUAUACGUCAUCAUUUCCUGUGCCUAUAAAUCUGUUAAGACCUCUGGAUCCAUCAAGAUGUCCAUCUUCAGAUCAGAAACCUAAAACCUAAAGUUCUCUGAUUUGGUUUUUAAAUGUUUGAUCAUGCUCUAAAGGAAUCUGCAACUCCAAAGAAGGUUGUUAAAGUAACUUAACUGGUGGCAUAGAUGGACUUCCACGUGAAGAUAUAAGUGAAAAGGUCACCCCCACUUUGUUAAAAGGCUUAUAGAGUUCUGAUUGGAAGGUCCACUUGGAAUCUAUUGAAAAUGUAACCAAAAUUCUGGAAAAGGUCGCCCAGUUGUUGCUUCUUAUUUGCCUGUAAACCGCACCUCAGGACCUUAUCGAUCCAGUUGAUAUAUUAAAGCCUCCUUAGGAUAAGUCUGGAUUUUGGGAAGCGGUGAAAGCUUCAAAAUGGCAUGAGAGGAAAGAAGUUGUUGCUGAACUAACCGAACUUGCUUCCACCAAAAAGAUUUCUCUUGGAGAUUUUUUCAGAAAGUUUGUCAUACAUUAAAGAAGGUUAUCACGAAUGUAAAUGUUACUGAAGGAAGGAAAAAAAAGGAAAAAACAUUGUUGUUGCAGCUGAAGCUAUUCAAGCGCUGGGCAACCUUCCUAAGGGCAUGGGAACCUUCUUUAAAAAAAGAGAAAAAAUGAAAAAAAGAAAAAAAAGUAAAAAAAGGGUAAAAGGGAAAAAUGAUAUUGCUGCUGCAUAUAAAGCUAUUUAAGCAUUGGGCAACGUUACUAGACUUUUCAGAACAAGAGCCUUCUUAUGCAGUUAAGGAGUGUACUCUGAUAGUCUCAUCAAUGAACUGUUUCUCUGGCUUUUGGAUGAUAGGCUUCCGGAGAUGGAUGAUGGACGUCAAAUUUUAACUGCUUUGAAUGUUCUGAUGUUAAAGAUUCUGGAUAACGCAGAAUAUACGUCAUCAUUUCCUGUGCCUAUAAAUCUGUUAAGACCUCUGGAUCCAUCAAGAUGUCCGUCUUCAGAUCAGAAACCUAAAACCUAAAGUUCUCUGAUUUGGUUUUUAAAUGUUUGAUCAUGCUCUAAAGGAAUCUGCAACUCCAAAGAAGGUUGUUAAAGUAACUUAACUGGUGGCAUAGAUGGACUUCCACGUGAAGAUAUAAGUGAAAAGGUCACCCCCACUUUGUUAAAAGGCUUAUAGAGUUCUGAUUGGAAGGUCCACUUGGAAUCUAUUGAAAAUGUAACCAAAAUUCUGGAAAAGGUCGCCCAGUUGUUGCUUCUUAUUUGCCUGUAAACCGCACCUCAGGACCUUAUCGAUCCAGUUGAUAUAUUAAAGCCUCCUUAGGAUAAGUCUGGAUUUUGGGAAGCGGUGAAAGCUUCAAAAUGGCAUGAGAGGAAAGAAGUUGUUGCUGAACUAACCGAACUUGCUUCCACCAAAAAGAUUUCUCUUGGAGAUUUUUUCAGAAAGUUUGUCAUACAUUAAAGAAGGUUAUCACGAAUGUAAAUGUUACUGAAGGAAGGAAAAAAAAGGAAAAAACAUUGUUGUUGCAGCUGAAGCUAUUCAAGCGCUGGGCAACCUUCCUAAGGGCAUGGGAACCUUCUUUAAAAAAAGAGAAAAAAUGAAAAAAAGAAAAAAAAGUAAAAAAAGGGUAAAAGGGAAAAAUGAUUAUUGCUGCUGCAUAUAAAGCUAUUCAAGCAUUGGGCAACGUUACUAGACUUUUCAGAACAAGAGCCUUCUUAUGCAGUUAAGGAGUGUACUCUGAUAGUCUCAUCAAUGAACUGUUUCUCUGGCUUUUGGAUGAUAGGCUUCCGGAGAUGGAUGAUGGACGUCAAAUUUUAACUGCUUUGAAUGUUCUGAUGUUAAAGAUUCUGGAUAACGCAGAAUAUACGUCAUCAUUUCCUGUGCCUAUAAAUCUGUUAAGACCUCUGGAUCCAUCAAGAUGUCCGUCUUCAGAUCAGAAACCUAAAACCUAAAGUUCUCUGAUUUGGUUUUUAAAUGUUUGAUCAUGCUCUAAAGGAAUCUGCAACUCCAAAGAAGGUUGUUAAAGUAACUUAACUGGUGGCAUAGAUGGACUUCCACGUGAAGAUAUAAGUGAAAAGGUCACCCCCACUUUGUUAAAAGGCUUAUAGAGUUCUGAUUGGAAGGUCCACUUGGAAUCUAUUGAAAAUGUAACCAAAAUUCUGGAAAAGGUCGCCCAGUUGUUGCUUCUUAUUUGCCUGUAAACCGCACCUCAGGACCUUAUCGAUCCAGUUGAUAUAUUAAAGCCUCCUUAGGAUAAGUCUGGAUUUUGGGAAGCGGUGAAAGCUUCAAAAUGGCAUGAGAGGAAAGAAGUUGUUGCUGAACUAACCGAACUUGCUUCCACCAAAAAGAUUUCUCUUGGAGAUUUUUUCAGAAAGUUUGUCAUACAUUAAAGAAGGUUAUCACGAAUGUAAAUGUUACUGAAGGAAGGAAAAAAAAGGAAAAAACAUUGUUGUUGCAGCUGAAGCUAUUCAAGCGCUGGGCAACCUUCCUAAGGGCAUGGGAACCUUCUUUAAAAAAAGAGAAAAAAUGAAAAAAAGAAAAAAAAGUAAAAAAAGGGUAAAAGGGAAAAAUGAUUAUUGCUGCUGCAUAUAAAGCUAUUCAAGCAUUGGGCAACGUUACUAGACUUUUCAGAACAAGAGCCUUCUUAUGCAGUUAAGGAGUGUACUCUGAUAGUCUCAUCAAUGAACUGUUUCUCUGGCUUUUGGAUGAUAGGCAUCCGGAGAUGGAUGAUGGACGUCAAAUUUUAACUGCUUUGAAUGUUCUGAUGUUAAAGAUUCUGGAUAACGCAGAAUAUACGUCAUCAUUUCCUGUGCCUAUAAAUCUGUUAAGACCUCUGGAUCCAUCAAGAUGUCCGUCUUCAGAUCAGAAACCUAAAACCUAAAGUUCUCUGAUUUGGUUUUUAAAUGUUUGAUCAUGCUCUAAAGGAAUCUGCAACUCCAAAGAAGGUUGUUAAAGUAACUUAACUGGUGGCAUAGAUGGACUUCCAGGUGAAGAUAUAAGUGAAAAGGUCACCCCCACUUUGUUAAAAGGCUUAUAGAGUUCUGAUUGGAAGGUCCACUUGGAAUCUAUUGAAAAUGUAACCAAAAUUCUGGAAGAGGAGAACUGGAACUGGAGAUCUAUUUGGAGCUCUAUAAGGGUGUCUACACGACAGUUCUAAAAUUUGAUAAUUGCUACUUUGUCCACAAUUGGUGCUGUUCGGACUACAAUGGGACAUCCAGUUGAGAAGUCAAGCUAGCUCCUGUGAAGGCUUGAUCAUUUACACGAAUGUAGCUCGUGCAAGGGAUUCUUUCAGAUUUUUCAGAUGUCUUGAAAUGCCUUGGUGACAACAAAAAGCAUAUGCAUGAGUGUACAUCGAGUACCUUAGAUACUUGGCUUGAGUGUACAUCUGGCCAAUGUUGUCAAGUCACCACGUAGCCAAAGGUCGAGGUUCUAGGUUUUGUGUGAACCCCAAUUUAUGUGCAUCACUGAUUCUGACCAACCAUCUUAAGCUUUAAUGAAUUAAAGCUGCCUUUGUAAAUGCUCCUCAGGACCUUAUCAAUCCAGUUGAUAUAUUAAAAGCCUUUGGAGAAGUCUGGAUAUUGGGAAGCGGUGAAAGCUUCAAAAUGGUGGGAGAGGAAAGAGGUUGUUGUUGAACUAGCCGAACUUGCUUCAACCAAAAAGAUUUCUCUUGGAGAUUUUUUCAGAAAGUUUGUCAUACAUUAAAGAAGGUAAUCACGAAUGUAAAUGUUACAACCUUGGCAUGAGAACCCUUCCUAAAAAAAGAAAAAAAAAAAGAAAAAAAAGGAAAAAAAGGAAAAAUAAUGAAAAAAAAAUUGCUGAUGUAUUUAAAGCUAUUCAAGCACUGGGCAACUGUGCUAGGGAUCCGAGAGCCCAUUUUUCGGCCAGUUGUUGCUUCUUAUUUGCCUGUAAACCGCACCUCAGGACCUUAUCGAUCCAGUUGAUAUAUUAAAGCCUCCUUAGGAUAAGUCUGGAUUUUGGGAAGCGGUGCUUCAAAAUGGCAUGAGAGGAAAGAAGCUGUUGCUGAACUAACCGAACUUGCUUCUACCAAAAAGAUUUCUCUUGGAGAUUUUUUCUGAAAGUUUGUCAGUACAUUAAAGAAGGUUAUCACGAAUGUAAAUGUUACUGAAGGAAGGAAAAAAAAGGAUAAAACAUUGUUGUUGCAGCUGAAGCUAUUCAAGCGCUGGGCAACCUUCCUAAUGGCCUGGGAACCCUUCUUAAAAAAAAGAGAAAAGAUGAAAAAAAGAAAAAAAAAGUAAAAAAAGGGUAAAAGGGAAAAAUGAUUAUUGCUGCUGCGUAUAAAGCUAUUCAAGCAUUGGGCAACGUUACUAGACUUUUCAGAACAAGAGCCUUGCUUAUGCAGUUAAGGAGUGUACUCUGAUAGUCUCAUCAAUGAACUGUUUCUCUGGCUUUUCGAUGAUAGGCUUCCAGAGAUGGAUGAUGGACGUCAAAUUUUAAAUGCUUUGAAUGUUCUGAUGUUAAAGAUUCUGGUAACUAUCACUGUAAACUUAUGAGAGGCAAGCAUUCUCCUCUCUUGUGAAAUUGCUAUUGUGUGGCCGGAUUGCACGUGCAGGAUAACGCAGAAUAUACGUCAUAAUUUCCUGUGCCUAUAAAUCUGUUAAGACCUCUGGAUCCAUCAAGAUGUCCAUCUUCAGAUCAGAAACCUAAAACCUAAAGUUCUCUGAUUUGGUUUUUAAAUGUUUGAUCAUGCUCUAAAGGAAUCUGCAACUCCGAAGAAGGUUGUUAAAGUAACUUAACUGGUGGCAUAGAUGGACUUCCACGUGAAGAUAUAAGUGAAAAGGUCACCCCCACUUUGUUAUAAGGCUUAUAGAGUUCUGAUUGGAAGGUCCACUUGGAAUCUAUUGAAAAUGUAACCAAAAUUCUGGAAGAGGAGAACUGGAACUGGAGAUCUAUUUGGAGCUCUAUAGGGCGUCUACCCGUCAGUUCUAAAAUUUGAUAAUUGCUACUUUGUCCCCAGUUGGUGCUCUUCAGAGUACAAUGGGACCUCCAGUUGAGAAGUCAAGCUAGGGGAUUUUUUCAGAUUUUUCAAAUGUCUUGAAAAGCCUUGGUGACAACAAAAAGCAUAUGCAUGAGUGUACAUUGAGUACCUUAGAUACUUAGCUUGAGUGUACAUCUGGCCAAUGUUGUCAAGUCACCACGUAGCCAAAGGUUGAGGUUCUAGGUUUUGUGUGAACUGCAAUUUAUGUGCAUCACUGAUUCUGACCAACCAUCUUAAGCUUUAAUGAAUUGAAGCUGCCUUUGUAAAUGCACCUCAGGACCUUAUCGAUCCAGUUGAUAUAUUAAAGCCUUUGGAGAAGUCUGGAUUUUGGGAAGCGGUGAAAGUUUCAAAAUGGUGUGAGAGGAAAGUGGCUGUUGCUGAACUAACCGAACAUGCAUCCACCAAAAAGAAUGCUCCUGCGGAUUUUUUCAGAAAGUUAUCUAACAUUGAAGAAGGUUGUCACAAUUGUAAACAUUUUUUAAGGAAGAAAAAAAAAAGAAAAAACAUUGUUGUUGCAGCUGAAGCUAUUCAAGCACUAGGCAAUCUUGCUAAGGGCCUGAUAACCCUUCCUAAAAAAAGGAAAGAAAAGGAUAAAAAAGGAAAAAGGAAAAACAAAAAUUGAAGAAAAAAAGGAAAAAAAGGGAAAAAAAUAAAAAAAAGGAAAAAAAGGAAAAAAAUGUUGUUGCAUAUAAAGCUAUUCAAGCACUAGGCAACUUUGCUAGGGAUCCGAGAGCCAUUUUUUUGGCCAGUUGUUGCAUCUUAUUGCCUGUAAACCGGGUUGUGAAGACUUUUGACUUCCACCUCACUGGUGCCUUUCAAGAUCCUGUAAAUAUGUCCUGAAUACUAUGAUAUAGGGUUCCGGAGAUGGAUGAUGGAAGUCAAAUUUUAACAGCUUUGAAUGUUUUGAUGUUAAAGCUUCUGGAUAACACAGAACAUACGUCAUCAAUUCUUGUGCGUAUAAAUCUAUUAGGACCUCUGGAUCCAUCAAGACGUCCAUCUUCAGCAUCAAAUGAUUCUCUUGCGAUUAGAAACCCAUAAACCUAAAGUUCUCUUAUUUGGUUGUUAAAAUCUUUGAUCAAGCUCCAAAGGCAUCUGCAGCUCCAAAGAAGGUUGUAAAAGUAACUUGUUCUACAUCAUCUGUGGUGACUGGUGGCAUGGAUGGACUUCCACGUGAAGAUACUGUUUAAAAGAUCCCCCCACUUUGUUAAAAGGCUUAGUCCACUUGGAAUCUAUUAAAAAUGUAACCAAAUUCUGGAAGAGGUGAACUGGAACUGGAGAUCUAUUUGGAGCUCUAAAAGGGCGUCUACACGAUAGUAACAAAAAUUUGAUAAUUGCUACUUUGUCCACAACUGGUGCUCUUGGGACCACAAUGGGACAGCAGAAAUUAAGCUAGGGCAUUCUUUCAGAUGUUUUGAAAUGCCUUGGCGACAACAGAAAGCAUAUGCGUGAGUUUACAUUGAGUACCUUAGACACAUGGCCUUGUGCUGCCCAUCCCAAUAAAAUGCUAUUCUCUCAGGCUAAAGUAGGCGCAGAGGGGCGCAAUUUGAUUGGCUAUCAAGUUAACUUGCUGGAUUAGCUGAGUUUCAUGAUGCAAUCAAGCUAAUCGAACCCACUACAUCUGCUAUUACGGAUAAAUCAACAGAUGUUCGUAAAGAGGCUGAAGCAUGAUUUAAUGAAAUAUUGAGGGUUUGUGGACAUGAAACGAAUAAUUAUGAAUCUGGAGAAUUUGUUUCGUCAAGCAUCACGUUGGAAAGCAGCCUAAAGACAGCAAAACCAAAUGGAAAUGGCGACCGCGAAUCUCAACAUGGAAGCAGAAAUGCACCUUCAAGAGUUGUGCCUAACAAGGGAUUCAGGCAAGAAUCUAUCUUGUCUUUUCAAGACAUCAACAUUCAGUAACAACAAGGAUGACAGAGAAAGAAUUAUUGUUCGCAGAUUCAAACUAGACGAAUUGCGUGUAGAGGAAAUUCAAGAUCUUGAGAUUUUUAGUAAGGGACUAUGCUUACUUCAAAAAGAAUGAUGUCAUGAAAUACUUUCGAGAGGAUCUGCAUCGGAGGCUCUUAAGUGCUGACUUCAAAAAUCAAGUUGAUGGCAUUGAGAUGUUGCAAAAGGCUCUUCCCCCAUGGGAAGGGAGGUGAUUGAAGUCUUAUAUAUACUCUUAAAGUGGUUUGUGUUGAGGUUUUGUGAAUUCAACACAUAAUGCUUAUUAAAGUACUUGAAUUUCUUCCCGAGCUUUUGGAUCUUUGGGAAAUGAGGGGCUACACUGUUACAAAAGCAGAGACAACCAUCGUUCUUCCUUGCUUGGAUGAGAAGUCUGGACAUAACAUUGAAAAAGUUCGAGAAAAUUGCGGGAACUGAUGAAACAAGUCAUACAAACAUAUUCUGCUCCCAAAUUAUGGGAUGAAAGUUGUGUGCCAUGAAUUGGCUUAAGCAACUGCUGACCCCAAGGGCAGCACAAUGGAAGAAAUACAGAAUGAUGCUGAUUAACUAGUUUCAUGCCCGAACAAGAGGCUUGCUUAUGGAGAUAAGGAGAGUACUAGUCUCAUCUUACACGAAACUGUUGCUAUGGCUUUUGGAUGAUAGGGUUCCACGGAUGGAUGAUGGAACUCAACUUUUGAGAGCUUUUAAUGCUCUGAUGUUAAAGGUUCUGGUGCAGGAUAAUGCAUAGCAUAAUUGGUCAUUUGUUGUGCUUAUAAAUCUGUUAAGACCUUUGGAUCCAUUAAGAUGGCCUUCUCCAGCAUCAAAUGAGUCUCUAGCAAUCAGAAACCAGAAAUUCUGCGAUUUGGUUGUUUAAUGUUUGAUCAAGCUCACUAAUGUAUUAUAUCUUGAUCUGUUUUAUCUUGUUUAUUUUUUCUUUUAAUUAUGUAUUGGUCUUAUAUUAUUGAUGUAGUGAAUCUUCCUUUUGUAAGAAUGUUAUGUUGCAUAGUUUGACGACAUUGUUU